UGGCAUAUUCCAUAGGGAUUGCUUUAUUUGAAAUUGUGUGGCAGGAAGACAUCCAUAACAUGCUACAUUAAUAAAGGAGUUCUCAGGGCUACCAACCUUACAGUAGAGGUUGAGUAGUAGUAUAUUUCUCCUACACAA
ensembl:snoRNA